AUAUCAAAAGAUACUCCCUUUGUAUACAUUUCAAUCUCAGCAAGGAUAUAAAUUUGACUGAUCAUGAGAAGAGUCCAAAGUAAACUCAGUGGACCGAUUUCAAGUAUACAUCCUGGUUGAAUGUUGAAAUGCAGUCUGACCCGAUAUAGGAUUUUGAGAAAAUGAAGAUUCUUAUUCUGCUAACGUUAAGCCAGUUUGGAUUGUGCCAAGACAGUAUAGGAGCUAUCGUUGACAUUCUAAAGCCAAAUCCAGGGUUGAGAGACUGUACUCUCCCCAGGGAGUUCACAGUGCGUGUAAGGACACACAAUGACUCCGUCACUCUUCAGUUGGAGACCAGCACGUCAGUGAAGAAAACAACCCCCGUAUAUGUAUCUAGACAGGAUGAGAAGGGGAACCCAAUCAUCGUCAGAGAUACAGUGUUGGAGCUGGAGGGAACAGCCGAAUACCAGGAUGUGAUUCACAUGGCUAACAUCGAGGUUACCUGCGUUAUUAAGGCAGAGAACCAACCGUAUUAUGCAUUUGAAGGGUUUCUCUUGCUCAAUGGACCAAGUAUGUAUGAGCUGAAGCCGACAGGAACAGAAUCAGCUUCCAGUGAUAUCAAAUACACACUUACUUCUUCCCCAGUACACAUUCCACCAAUAGAUAAUGAUGAUGAUGGCGAGAAGGGUCAGUCAGGAAGUGACAGUGAGAUGAUGGCAUCAGAAUCCUUGAGGAAGAAGCGCCAGAUUCAGGAGCCAAUCUACGUGGACGUUAUUACGGUGAUAGCGUUCUCUGUUUAUGAAAGAUGGUAUUCCAGAGCAACCCAGCUGUCCGAAGCCUUGAAGCACCAGGAGACAAAACAAGGCAUCAAAAGACACUUUGCACAUCUUGUAAACGGGGUAGAUCUCCGUUAUAAGAAGGCGUCCCCUCUGUACAACAUAAACCUGGUAGGAUAUAUCAUUGAGGAUGUGCAGUUACCACGACCGUUCCAAGGCGCUGUAGUUAAUGAAACGAAGAUAGAUGGUGAUAAACUUCUCAGUGGCACAAGGCAAUGGAAGGCUGACACACCAGGAUUCCCUGACAAUGACCACAUUAUUGUGUUCACAGCGAACGAUCUGUUCAUUGUGGCAAACACCGGAAAAACGAGUAACCUGCUUGGAUAUGCAUAUGUAGGAACAAUAUGUGAAACACCAUAUAACAGUGUGUCAGCUGUGGAAUACACUGACAAUCUGAUUGACGACAUGCUCGUCACAACACACGAAGUCGGACAUGCGCUCAGCGCCAGGCACGACGGGGAAUACAACAACAUGUGUAACUCUACAUACAAGUACAUCAUGACCGGCAGCGGGUACAGCACGACCCAUGUUCUUGACCACAACAACUACUACGUCUUUUCUACAUGCUCGUCACGCUACUUUCAAACCUUCAUCCAAGGAAUCCUGACAAACGGUACAAAUGCCCAACAGCAAUGCCUACAGACGAGUCUCGAGCCGGCUUCUGUGACAAACAUCACGGGGACGAUGCCGGGACAGCUCUACGACGUUCACACGCAGUGUCAAAUGAUGUUUGGGCCAGGCUUCGUCUUGCGAUCAGAUAUUGACAUAGGUAAUUCAGAAAACAUAUGCAAGAGAAUGGUCUGUGGCAAGGAACAGCUUCAGUCGUUCCGAAACGCUGCAGAAGGAACGUCAUGUGGCAAUAAAAAGUGGUGUGUUGCUGGACAGUGUGUGUUUUCCAUAGAUGCACCAGAACAAAACAAUACUGACUGUCUCUUUGGGAACCAGCCAAUCGUGUACCCGGGCAAUAGAACAUGUGCUGAGCUGAUAGGUGCAACACCACGUUUGUGCUACAAUCCUGGUAAUUUGACUGCCUGCUGUGAGACCUGUCCUGUUUACAAGAGAAAUGACGAAAACUGCCCAUAUGGAGAUCGAUUUAGAAACUGUGACACAUUAACUCAGGACACGAAACGUUUAUGCUACGUUGAAGGAAAUGCCAGGGGUUGUUGUGAAACAUGUCCACUUUUCAAGUCGGCAGUAGGAGCAGAAACGUCUUUGUUACAAUGAAAACAAUACUUAUGGCUGUUGUGAGACUUGCUCAGCCUACUCGUCAGGAGGUGCAAAUUGCACAUAUGGUGAUCGUUACUCUGACUGUGACACUGGUAUUACUCAGGAACGGAAAAGUCUUUGUUACAUUGAAAAC
rnacentral:misc_RNA from 1 species